GACGAACGCUGGCGGCGUGCUUAACACAUGCAAGUCGAACGGAAAGGGCCUGCUUUUGUGGGGUGCUCGUGUGGCGCACGGGUGAGUAAAAAGCGAGUAACCUGCCCUUUACUUUGGGAUAAAUCCUGGGAACUGGGGCUAAUAUCGGAUAGGAACACUUGAUGCAUGGUGUGGGUUGUAAAGAUUCGGCGGUGUGGGAUUGACUCGUGGUAUAGCAGCUUGUUGGUGGGGUGGUAGCUUACAAGGGCAUUGACGGUUAGCCGCCCUGGGAGCGUGACCGGCCACAUUGGGACUAAGAAAGGGCCCAGACUCCUACGGGAGGCAGCGGUGGGAAAUAUUGCGCAAAGGGCGGAAGCCGGAUGCAGCAACUCCGCGUGCGGGAUGACGGCCUUCAGGGUAUAAACCGCUUUCGCCUGGAACGAAGCGUAAGUGACGGUAAUGACUAAAGAAGCAACGGCUAACUACGUG
rnacentral:rRNA from 1 species